AUGAGCAUUGCGGCGUGUUGGCGCGGAGGACGCCCGUGUUGGCGUGGUGCAGAAGAACGCUUGCGUGCUGGCGGUGCAACAAUGAUGGCUUGGGUGACAGGGUUGAAGAGUUGUAGCUAUCUCCCGUCUUGGUUGAUGCAUCCCUGCUCCCCUCCCGUCCUAAGCUGGUCCACCCUCUGCGUGAUCGCAGUGAGAUGGAACCCCGCCAAAGCGGGCACCGAAGAGCUGAUGCAGGAGUGGACGAUGGGAGAGGCGAGGUUGGUGAUGCAUGGCAGAAUGUCAUCGUCGUGCAGCUCAACCAUCGCCACGAUGCGGGUCUUGGUGCGCGGUGGAGAUGGUUCCCCAUCCUCAAACGCAAGUGGAGUGGAGAGCGCCUUGAUCAUAGUGUUCUCCAUCUCCAACUACAUGAUGACUGUGUGCGGAGGGGGGAGAGAGCGUGCGGCCGGCAAGAAAGGAGAAUAA
rnacentral:rRNA from 1 species